AUGAGACAAGGAGAAGCCGUAGUUCCAGCAGGAGACAGUCCUGCAAAUCCAAAGAAAGAGGCACAAGAAGCUCAGGAGAGCACCAACAAUCAAGACCAUCAAACACAACCAGAGGAGCCCAAUGAACAACCCAAACAUGUUCAUCAAACGGUAGACAAUAAUGCCACUGAAGACCAAGCCACCAAAAAUUCAAUCACCAAACAACAGCUACCAGAGUCAGGGCCAGCGUCAACGAUUGAAAAGAGAGAGGAGACAGAUGAGGAAAAGGAAGCCAAAGAAGAAGAGCAAAAUGUUCUUCAAACGGCAGACGUCAACGUCAAAGAAGACCAAGCGCCAAAAUAUUCACUCACCGAAAAAACCACAGCAGAGACGGCAGCAGCGACAAUGACUGAAAAGAUACAAGACAAAAACAACGGCAGCGGCAAUGAACUCCAAAAGACAGAACAGGAAGAUGCCCAAAAACCUCCACUCAACGAAGAACAAGCACAACAGUUAGCAUCAGCAACGAGAACAGCAGCAGAGACAACAGAAACAGCAACAACUGAGAAGGUCAGUGCCAUCCAGGUCGAGACUGAAAAACAAGACGGAAAAAACCACCAGCAAGACAUAACGGUUCACAAGAAAAAACAUGAUGCCAAGAAAAGCACAGACGACUCAAAUAAGGAUGGAGAAGAAGCUGAACAAAAGGGUACAAUGGAGAAAGGUGGCAAAGAUAGCGAUUCCGUUAAAAAAGCCAUCGAAGACCUGUACAACGCUGUAUGCAAGCCAUGGACAAAGAGAGAAAUGGAUCAGCUUUUCAUUACAACGAACAAGUUUGAUGUAAAUCUAGGACAUGUCUCCGAAAGCUUCAAGGUCGGUAAAUCAAUAUGCACCGAAGCAAUAGAGCCCAUGCUAACAAUCUUGAGAAAACAACUCAAUGGCACACGGAGAAAGAUUCUGUCGUUAAGCAACACUAUAAUUCCUUCUACCAUGUUCGUUGAGCGGGUUUGA
rnacentral:rRNA from 1 species